rnacentral:rRNA from 1 species
UACGUAGGUGGCAAGCGUUGUCCGGAUUUACUGGGCGUAAAGAGCGCGCAGGCGGUCGGAUUAGUCGCGUGUGAAAGCCCCCGGCUCAACUGGGGAGGGUCACGCGAUACUGUUCGACUCGAAGGCAGGAGAGGGAAGUGGAAUUCCCGGUGUAGUGGUGAAAUGCGUAGAUAUCGGGAGGAACACCAGUGGCGAAGGCGACUACCUGGCCUGUUCUUGACGCUGAGGCGCGAAAGCUAGGGGAGCAAACAGG